UGCCAGCACCAGAGCCAGCCCCGUGAAAACCGGGGCAAUCGACUUAAGUAGGUGCGCCGCUAUGAGUUUCAUAU
rnacentral:ribozyme from 2 species